UACAGAGGUCCCAAGCGUUGUUCGGAUUCACUGGGCGUAAAGGGUGCGUAGGUGGUCGGGUAAGUCUGGUGUGAAAUCUCCGAGCUCAACUCGGAAAUGGCAUUGGAUACUAUUCGGCUAGAGGAUUGGAGGGGGGACUGGAAUACUUGGUGUAGCAGUGAAAUGCGUAGAUAUCAAGUGGAACACCAGUGGCGAAGGCGAGUCCCUGGACAAUUCCUGACACUGAGGCACGAAAGCUAGGGGAGCAAACAGG
rnacentral:rRNA from 1 species